UACGUAGGGGGCAAGCGUUUGUCCGGAAUUAUUGGGCGUAAAGAGCUUGUAGGCGGUCUGUCGCGUCUGCUGUGAAAACCCGCGGCUCAACCGCGGGCCUGCAGCCGAUACGGGCAGGCUAGAGUUCGGUAGGGGAGACUGGAAUUCCUGGUGUAGCGGUGAAAUGCGCAGAUAUCAGGAAGAACACCCGUGGCGAAGGCGGCUCUCUGGGACGGUACUGACGCUGAGACGCGAAAGCGUGGGGAGCGAACAGG
rnacentral:rRNA from 1 species